rnacentral:rRNA from 1 species
UACGUAGGUGGCAAGCGUUGUCCGGAAUUACUGGGCGUAAAGCGUGCGCAGGCGGUUUCGUAAGUCUGUCGUGAAAUCCCCGGGCUUAACCUGGGAAUGGCGAUGGAGACUGCGAGGCUAGAGUUUGGCAGAGGGGGGUAGAAUUCCACGUGUAGCAGUGAAAUGCGUAGAGAUGUGGAGGAACACCGAUGGCGAAGGCAGCCCCCUGGGUCAAAACUGACGCUCAUGCACGAAAGCGUGGGGAGCAAACAGG